CAUACCAUGCUGAAUAUACUGGUUCUCGUUAGAUCACCGAAGUCAAGCAUCAUUGGGCGCGGUUAGUACUUGGGUGGGUGACCACCUGGGAACACCGCGUGCCGUU
rnacentral:rRNA from 1 species